rnacentral:rRNA from 1 species
AGUGAACGCUGGCGGUAGGCCUAACACAUGCAAGUCGAACGGCAGCACAGUAAGAGCUUGCUCUUACGGGUGGCGAGUGGCGGACGAGUGAGGAAUACAUCGGAAUCUACUUUUUCGUGGGGGAUAACGUAGGGAAACUUACGCCAAUACCGCAUACGACCUACGGGUGAAAGCAGGGGAUCUUCGGACCUUGCGCGAUUGAAUGAGCCGAUGUCGGAUUAGCUAGUUGGCGGGGUAAAGGCCCACCAAGGCGACGAUCCGUAGCUGGUCUGAGAGGAUGAUCAGCCACACUGGAACUGAGACACGGUCCAGACUCCUACGGGAGGCAGCAGUGGGGAAUAUUGGACAAUGGGCGCAAGCCUGAUCCAGCCAUACCGCGUGGGUGAAGAAGGCCUUCGGGUUGUAAAGCCCUUUUGUUGGGAAAGAAAAGCAGCAGGUUAAUACCCCGCUGUUCUGACGGUACCCAAAGAAUAAGCACCGGCUAACUUCGUG